GUAAAGCACUUUCAGUAGGGAGGAAGGUAGUGUAGUUAACACCUGCACUAUUUGACGUUACCUACAGAAGAAGCACCGGCUAACUCCGUGCCAGCAGCCGCGGUAAUACGGAGGGUGCGAGCGUUAAUCGGAAUUACUGGGCGUAAAGCGCAUGCAGGCGGCCUGUUAAGUCAGAUGUGAAAGCCCGGGGCUUAACCUCGGAAUUGCAUUUGAAACUGGCAGGCUAGAGUCGUUGUAGAGGGGGUAGAAUUUCAGGUGUAGCGGUGAAAUGCGUAGAGAUCUGAAGGAAUACCAGUGGCGAAGGCGGCCCCCUGGACAAAGACUGACGCUCAGAUGCGAAAGCGUGGGGAGCAAACAGGAUUAGAUACCCUGGUAG
rnacentral:rRNA from 1 species